GAUGAACGCUGGCGGCGUGCCUAAUACAUGCAAGUCGAGCGAACAGACGAGGAGUUUGCUCCUUUGACGUUAGCGGCGGACGGGUGAGUCACACGUGGGUAACCUACCUUUAAGACUGGGAUAACUUCGGGAAACCGGCGCUAAUACCGUAUAAUAUUUCGAACCGCAUGGUUCGAUAGUGAAAGAUGGCUUUGCUAUCACUUAUCGAUGUACCUGCGCCGUAUUAGCUAGUUGGUAAGGUAACGGCUUACCAAGUCAACGAUACGUAGCCGACGUGAGAGGGGGAACGGGCACAGUGAGAGUGAAAGACGGUACAGAGUCAGAGGGAAGGCAGAAAUAGGGAAUGUACCGAGAAGGGCGGAAGACUGAAGGAUGAGCGCAGGAUGGAUGAUGAGGGGCUGCGGAUCGGAAAACGCUGUUAUUAGGGAAGAACAAUCGUGUAAGUAACGGAGCACGUCGUGACGGUAGCUAAACAGAAAGCAACGGCUAACUACGUG
rnacentral:rRNA from 1 species